AAUACAAGGCUCGCAUCGAAACGAAUAUCGUCAGAUAACCAUUCCGAUCCAGAUUCCCAAAAAUGUCAAUUUCGACACCGGAACUCACCAUCGCUCACUCUUCGUCUCCGAACCCUUGGAAUGACGUGACCAGCCAAUAAGGCUCAGCGACAAGUUAAUUUAUAGUGAGGCACGGUGCGAAGAAUUCCGAACUGAAACAGUGUUCCGUAGGCGAAUUUCAUCGAGAAACGCACUAAAAAUCAAUAUUCGAU
rnacentral:lncRNA from 1 species